rnacentral:rRNA from 1 species
UACAUGCAGUUGAGCGCUGAAGGUUGGUACUUGUACCGACUGGAUGAGCAGCGAACGGGUGAGUAACGCGUGGGGAAUCUGCCUUUGAGCGGGGGACAACAUUUGGAAACGAAUGCUAAUACCGCAUAAAAACUUUAAACACAAGUUUUAAGUUUGAAAGAUGCAAUUGCAUCACUCAAAGAUGAUCCCGCGUUGUAUUAGCUAGUUGGUGAGGUAAAGGCUCACCAAGGCGAUGAUACAUAGCCGACCUGAGAGGGUGAUCGGCCACAUUGGGACUGAGACACGGCCCAAACUCCUACGGGAGGCAGCAGUAGGGAAUCUUCGGCAAUGGACGAAAGUCUGACCGAGCAACGCCGCGUGAGUGAAGAAGGUUUUCGGAUCGUAAAACUCUGUUGGUAGAGAAGAACGUUGGUGAGAGUGGAAAGCUCAUCAAGUGACGGUAACUACCCAGAAAGGGACGGCUAACUACGUGCCAGCAGCCGCGGUAAUACGUAGGUCCCGAGCGUUGUCCGGAUUUAUUGGGCGUAAAGCGAGCGCAGGUGGUUUAUUAAGUCUGGUGUAAAAAGCAGGGGGUCAACCACUGUAUGCAUUGUAAACUGGUAGACUUGAGUGCAGGAGAGGAGAGUG